CUGAUUUAUUGUGUUGAGUUAUGGGGCAGUAAUUAUAAACAAUCAAUUCAAUCACUAUUCUUACUACAAAAAGGGCCAUACAAACUAUUCACAAGGC